AUUAACAGGUAUAAACUAUGAAAAAUUUUCAUUCAUUCAAUUCGCAUUGCUGGAACAAAAGGCAAAGGAGCCACUGCUUCAUUCCUCUCCAACUUGCUGAAUGCAGAAGGCUACUUUGUUGAUAUACUCGAUAGUAUAUGUUUAUCCUGAAGGGGAGACUUGGCGUAAGUGAUAAAGUUGCCGCCAGGUGAUCAGCAUGUCACGGGUUCGAGCUGUAGAAAUAGCCUCUUGUGGAAAUGUAGGGUAAGGCUGCGUACGAUAGACCCUUGUGGUCCAACCCUUCCCCGUACCCCGUGCAUAGCGGGCGCUUAGUACGCCGGGCUGCCCUUUUUUAGUAUAUAUUCUUGCUGCUGAUGUUGUUUAUUGGAAUACAAGUUUAGACCUUAGUAGAUAUUUGGUCUUCCUUUAUAAAUACAAAAUUUUCUUUGCCACUUGUGUUUCCAUCUAUUUUGUCUCUUCUACUAUCAUACAGGUUGGAUUAGGAUGAACACGAGAUGCAAUAAAUGUUACACUUGGUUCAUCCUUUUAGUUGAAUACUACUCAAAGGUUUAGCCUAAUGUGUUUGUUACUUUCUUGUGGUGGUAUGUUUUUUCAGACACGAGGCUAUUGGUUCAUGCCCCAGAUUCUACUUUGCUAAUUCCAUCCUCAAAAUUUCGGUUAUUGUUACGCAAUACAAACUUUAUCCAGUUUCAUGUUGAAUGGAAUUACUAUGACCUGCCAUUAACUUGUAAUGAUUGACGAUUAAAGGCUUCUAGAACUUGUUAUCAAACAUCUGAUCAUGUUCAUGACUUUGAAAAUUACUCUUUUGAAGUUAUAGUCGAAAAGUACUUUUCUAGAAGUUAUAAUACUACUAGACAGGUACCUAGUCUUAUAUUCUCAAUGAUAAAUGCAAGCAAGUCAAAAGAUGCAACUUCUAUAUGUACUCAGUGAGUACUACUCACCAAGUUGUCUCCUCGUUUCCUUACUUCAUGGUUUAAAUCUUUAGGCUCAUCUUCAAUUUCGUGAUCGCUAUAGAAUCAGUCCAGCAGGUUAUUUUCUUUGGAGUUUUAACGUCUUAGACGCUGGUAUUAUUUUCAUUAUGUCUUCCUGCAUCAAGGUGUACAAAAGCUUAGAAACUUAUGUUUGGUUACCAUUUUCUCAUGGCUGUCCUAAUUUCCAAGCUAAUUUGAUCUCAUCUUAUUUGCUGUUGGAUCAAUUAUGCUUUGUUUGUUUAACUUGUUUAACAUUUCAGCUGGUUUUAGGAGGUCUUUUCCUUUGGCAUAUUGAGUACACUCCUCGUAGGAAAUGUCUUCACCUAUAGUGCUAGCAUCUGAUCCUGGAAAUGAAAGGUUAUUGAGAGGUUUCUAUGAAGUGAGUGGCACACUUAUCAAUUGUCCGAUAUAGUGAUCCAAUGACUUACUGAUGGGGAUGCACUGAUUUUCAUAGGUUGUUCAUGCAUGAAAGAAUAAGUCUCUAUCUUUUUCUUAAUUCCAGUCUGUUAAUAUAACAAAAAUGCAAUUGCCUGCAUUUUCACAAAUAGUGUAGUCGAUUAACUUCUUGAUGUGAAAUUAUUCAUUCUUGGAUCUAUUUUUGAAAAUAUUUUAACUGCUACAUUUGCAGCAUUGUGCCUUAAUAAGCAAGGUUAGGACUCAAUUUCUUUACUCAUCACUUCAAUAACAAAUUCAAGUUGUUAGUUAUUAUGUUGAGAUGUAUAUUUAUUCAUUAAAUUACAAAUUCAAAACUCUUCGACUCCUUUGGAUAUGGAGAUCCUGACAUGCUUGUUUUUUUGUAUAAGAAGCAUUAAUGAUGUUUUGAUACUUCUAUUAAUUGAUUAAUUCAUACAUGCAUUCAUAUUUGUUUCCAGCAGGGCCUGCACAUGUGAGAUUGAUUCUUUGACCAAGCAGUUGGAGAGAUUCUUUUUAUAGAUGACAAAUGAGAGCAAUAUCAUGUUAAAUUGUGUCCAUCUCAUCUAAAUAUUUAAGUUGUUAGUUUGGUUCAAAUUCCAACCGAGAUAAAAAGAGCUAGGUGAUUUAUUCCCAUCCGUCUAAACUUUGUUCGAUAGAGUCAUCUAAUAACAAGUAAUCCAUGCUGGUGGAAGUUAGCAGGUAAGUAGUGUUAGUGUUUCUGACAUGAUGUCGGCGGAUGCACAAAAAUUCAUGAAUUACUAUGAGUAGAUGACUAUAAAGAUGUCAAUGAUGAAAGGGAAGAUCCUGAUUCUUGUAGUGGAACUAACCUGUAUUUGUCAGUUAAUUAUAGAGACUUCCGUUAAUAUGAAGAGCACCGACCAUUGGUUUUAAUAGAAGGGAGGAAAAAAUGAAAAGCUUCUUCAGGUUUAAAGUUGGUUUUUGACAUGCAGAUGCACAUGUUGAGAGGUAGUACUUCCUUUAAGAUUUUCCUUUUACAACAAUCUCAUCUCAGUUCAAGACCCUGUACCCCUUGUUCAAGAGAUUCUACAUCAAUGAAGCUAGUAUAUCUGUCUGCUAUAUAUGAUACUUCUGUCGUCCCUUCAUAUAUUUUUUCACCAAUCACUAAGUUGUCUUCUCUUUAUGUAUACAUUUUUUUUCUUUAUUUACAUUUUUAAUGGAACAAAAUUGAAGCAAAGAACCCUUGCAGGCAAUACGAUUCAGGCCUAGUUGUCAUUUUAUAUUAUGCCUGGGUAUGGAUAAUUGUAAGACUUAAAGAACCACUAGUUUUAUAGAACCCUAAUUUGUCUUAAACGACAAACAUCAUGUCUGGUUACUUACCGACAUUGGGAUGAAUUGGGUCCUGAUAUAGAGGAUUCAUAUCAGCUACUCCAUCUAGGUUGGGAUUGAGACGUAGUAGCUCGAUUGAUUUAUCCUUUUUUUUUCUCUUCAAUUCAAGCUAUAAUUUGAUCAGUCUUCUCCUCUAUUUUUCCUCAUCCUGUUACUCAGUUUCCUACUUUUCAAAAGCUCCUGUACCUCCAGUGAUGAAUAACUUCAGGAUAUUCGAGAUUCAGGCCCUUAUCACUGCUAUAGCACUGCUUGUUUAAGAUUGAUGCUUUAUAUGUUGACCCACUUCAAAUGAUAUUAAAGCAGUAUUCUAUUCGUAGACUUCCAAAGCUGAAUCCUUGCUAUAUAAACCACAUUAGGGAUGUGUCAAUAGGUUGUCAUCUGUUUCAGUCAGCCAUUCAUGUUGAUGAUCUUACCUGUUGAUGGAGCAUUAUGUUUGUGUUAGGAUCUUCCAAAGCCCUUGAUUGUUUGAGUUCUUAAAUGCGUUAGUAGGUUCAGAACCAUGAAAUUUCUGGUGCAAAUGGAAUAAGUCGAUGAUCACUUAGCUGUCACUUGGUUCGUAUGAACCUAAAACUGUUUACUUUAAUUAGACAAGUGAUAUUCCGAAUAUACUUAAGUUGUAAGUUCUUUUUACUUACGAUUCGCUGAAGUCCAUCUUACAUAAACUCUUCAUUUGCCUUGAUAUAUACACUUGUGCCAAACAGGUAUAACAUGGGUAUAGGUACUUCAUAUAGAUCCUUCAAGAUACACUAAAGUUUGCUAAAGGUUUAACCUAUCCAACCAAGUACUUACCAGUUACCUGUACAUGCUCAUAUCCAAGUUCAUGCAACAUAGUUUGAAACUUAUGUUCUCUAAUGUUCAGUUCUCUAGUUUGUGGAUAAGGGACAACAGGAAAAACUACUACACCUAAAAUGUAUAUCCUAAAUUGUGGACUUUUGUAUCAAGCACUAUAAGAAACCUAAAAAAGGUAGACUCUUGCGAGCAUAAUGGCAAUUUAUAAUGAUUAGCACAAGAAAAUAUUAGUAGCAAAAUUUUUAGAAAAAAAGAAGAUAACUAGUAAUACCUUUAUGAAAACAUUUGUAACAGGCUUUUUAUUCACGAAUAAUUAGAGGGUCCACCUUCCAUGAACACUCAUGUGAGAAUGCAAAAAAUCUAUUUAUUCACAAUGAUAUAAUGAGCCCUAUAUACAACACAUAUUCUAUUCUUAUAACAUAUAGGACUAAGACAUAUUCUACUCCUACUACAUAUGGGAUUAGGACAUAUUCUACUCCUACUACAUAUGGGACUAGAAUAUAUUCUAUUCCUAUUACAUAUGGAACUAGGACUAUUUACACAUAACUAUCUAACACUCCCCUCAAGCCAGUGCAUACAAAUCAUAUGUACCGAGCUUGUUACAUAUGUAACUAAUACGAGGAUAGGUGAGGGAGUUGGUGAAAAUAUCUGCAAGCUGAUCGUUCGAGAUACAAGGCCGCUAGAGCCCCCUGAGCAACAAAAUCAGGUGGUUGCUGAUAAACAGAAGUUGGCCGAAAGGUCGCCGGAAAAAUUUGAAAAAGUGAGACUAAACCGAAUUCCACACUACAAAAUAGAUUCUAAAACACCAGAGAAAACAAACUUUUCUGGAAAUUAUUGUUCACGCCGGAAAAAAUAAAAGUUGUCAGAAUUUGAUGUAAUUUAUAUGGAUAAGAUCGGAAUCAUUGGACGAGUAAGUUGUCCUGAAAAAGUUUUGUCAAGCUGGAAUGGCUUACACGCGCCGGAAAAGUUGUUGUAGCUCGUCGGAACCAGGGUUCCGGCAGCGCGUGGAGGCGCGUGAAGGACUUUCUUCUUGAGCGAUUGACUGUGGUUGUGUCGCCUGACUUUUUCGAACCAAAUGGUAGUGUUGGUUUUUGCACAACACUUAUUGAUGGGGAGAUAACGCAAAUCAAUCUUGAGUCGUCAACCGAAAAGACACACGGUGGCUGACUUUUCUGUUCCAAUGGGACUGGAAUUUCUGGGGUUUGGUCGCACAAGGGUUUCUGAUCUAAUGGUGGUACUAGUAUAUGCACAAUACCGGUGUAGCAGUGAUAAACCCGGGGAACAAGACGAAGUUGUCGGAAAAUUGCAUGGCGAUGAGAUCUUUCUUCCCGGAUGUCACUAGAAUGACGCACAACGAUAAUUUUCUCACUAGAGCUCUGAUACCAUGUGAGAAUGCAUGGGAGAAAAAUUUAUUUAUUAACAAUGAUGCAAUGAGCCCUAUAUACAAUACAUAUUCUACUCCUACGACAUAUAGGACUAGGACAUAUUCUACUCCUACUACAUAUGGGACUAGACAUGUUCUACUCCUACUACAUAUGGGACUAGGACAUAUUCUAUUCCUAUUACAUAUGAGACUUGGACUAUUUACACAUAACUAUCUAAUAACUCAUUUACGGGAUUGAUAAUAGUGACUGAAGCCUUGAGGCAUGAUUAAAUCCAAGACUUGUUCAUCUGAUCAAGCUAGAUCUCUUUAUGUUAUAUAACUGGAGUUAGAAUUGAACAGAAAAUGAAUAUUGAUGGAAUCAGUUUAAAUUGUUGCAUUCUGUGAAAAUACCUUUACUUGUCACAUUUCUAUGGAGAUUUUAUUCAGUCGUAAUCCGCCUUUAGCUGUUCAAUUUUGGUUUUUCAAUAAUCAAGACAGGUAUCUCAGUGUUUCUUCGGAAUGAUCAUACUACUAUGGUUUGCAGAAGUUAGAGUGCUUGCUAGUUCACGACUCAUUAUUACUCUAGUUUUAUUAGGAUUUAUCUUUAAUAUGGUGAGAUGGAGAAGUUCUGUUUCUUUCUAAAAAAAGAUAUGGUGCAGAUGGAGAAAUAUGAAAAGAUGUCACCCCCCCCUAUUUAGUAGGGUAAGUUUGAGGUUUUACAUUACCUUAUAGGAGUAAUAAAGAAAGUUUAUUGAGGUUUCACUUUAAUUUACCUUAUUUAAAAAAAAGUUUAUUGAGGUUUCACUAUCUUUGCUUUAGGGUCCCGAUGUCAAGACAUUCUGCUAUAUGGUGUGGGGCUAGGAAUGAGAGCUUGGAAUUACAUGGUGCCAACCACCUUAGUUGCUCACUAGUCGCCAUCACCUAAAGGCUGAAGGAAACCCUCAUUGAAAUUACCCCUCUAGAUAACUAAAAGGGCAGCUUCCAGGAAAGAAAUUAAUCAUAUUCUUGACAAUACAAUCAUCUUUCUUGCACAUUUGCAUUAUGUACCUUUUGCAUGUGACUUACCCGUUUAUGUUGAUUGGAAGUUAGACAUCAAAGAUGAAGGACACAUAAACUAGAAAAUUGAGUAUGGUUGGGUUAGACAUAGCAGCUCGAGUGGAAAGAUGUGUAUUUUUUUAAUUGGCAUUUUAUUUUUGCACGUAAAGUGUCAUGAUGUUGGCUCAGUGCAUUACAAAAAGAAUUAGGACAUACCAAAGACAAGAAAAACAAAUGCAUUUAAGUGCUUGUUUGAGGUGUGCGUCAGUUUUUGUAUGGUUUUCUUAAGGACUGAAGGAGCGGAGGGCCCUAAAAGGUUCUUACUCUCAAAAGAUUGGUGAAUGCACAAAAUUGAGAUACAAGAUUGACAGAUGAGGAAGGGGGCUUGAACUAGCAAAGCAUAAACACAGUCCUCCAACCGUUACAGGGAAGGAUGGGGACAGGACAUCCAAAUGGGACAUGGAAAUCUAUAUAACAAUCAAGGUUGCAGUAUAUGCUAACUAAUGCAUCACUCCCUCUGCCCUUAACAAGACAUUCAUUUCCCUAUUGGAGUACUAAGCUUUACUUACUUCCACUUGGACAAAAAAUGAAAAUAUAAAAAGAGAAAACGAUAACUACCUUUUUAUAGUUGGCCGCCAACUUUUGAAAUAGAAUUGAAAAUUUUUAUGACAAAAAGAUGAGCUCAAAUUUGGAAAUCCUUGAUAGUGGAAAACUGAAAAGUUGGUGAUGUGCACGAUGUAUCAAUUAUGUCUCAAUUUCAAACUAAUUGAGAUUGUUUGUAUGAAUUAUUUAUUUUCAUUAUAUUCUAUUUGGACCAGUCUUGAUCUAA